GCGGUACGGCUGGGGGGCGUUCGCCGCCCUGGCGGGCGCGGCCGCCGCCGUGGACGUCCUCCGGUUCGCCGCCGGGGUGCCGUAC
rnacentral:tRNA from 1 species